GGUCACAUUGCAUUGAAACGCUGGUUCCAGUACGAUCACCAAAGUUAAGCAAUAUCAAGCCUGGUCAAUACUUAGAUGGGUAACCACUUGAGAGUAUCAGGUGCUGUAAG